UGGCCUAUUUUUUUCCCCGUGAACCCUUGAAACUAAUGCUUUUUUCUUUGAAAGCAUUACAGAGAGAACUGAACAAAUAGCACCGUUUUGCCUUGUUGUUGGUAAAUCGAUCUUAGCAUCUUCCCACCUUCGCAGGCUGCCUGGAACUUCUUCUCGACAGACUUCACUCUUUUUUCACCAACCGACAGGUCUGUCGAGAUUCAUGUUGCUGUCACUGGGUGACUCCAUUUCUACUACAAACUGUAUCAAAAGAUGAGCUGCAACAGCUGGAGCCAUAUUCAGACGAGGAAAAUUGUUCAGAACGAAAAGACAUGGAUGGGUGAGGAGGUGAUGCUGUGUUUUAAGAAACACGUUGAGAGAAGUGCACAUCUCGCGGGGCUUGAGUACCGGCUGAAUGAACUUUGUCACCAGUAUUUU